rnacentral:rRNA from 1 species
AGUGAACGCUGGCGGUAGGCCUAACACAUGCAAGUCGAACGGCAGCACAGUAAGAGCUUGCUCUUACGGGUGGCGAGUGGCGGACGGGUGGGGAAUACAUCGGAAUCUACUUUUUCGUGGGGGAUAACGUAGGGAAACUUACGCUAAUACCGCAUACGACCUACGGGUGAAAGCAGGGGAUCUUCGGACCUUGCGCGAUAGAAUGAGCCGAUGUCGGAUUAGAUAGUUGGCGGGGUAAAGGCCCACCAAGGCGACGAUCCGUAGCUGGGCUGAGAGGAUGAUCGGCCACACUGGAACUGAGACACGGUCCAGACUCCUACGGGAGGCAGCGGUGGGGAAUAUUGGACAAUGGGCGCAAGCCUGAUCCAGCCAUACCGCGUGGGUGAAGAAGGUCUUCGGGUGUUAAAGCCCUUUUGUUGGGAAAGAAAAGCAGCAGGUUAAUACCCCGCUGUUCUGACGGUACCCUAAGAAUAAGCACCGGCUAACUUCGUG